AGAGUUUGAUCCUGGCUCAGGAUGAACGCUGGCAGUAUACUUUACACAUGCUAGUUUAUGGUUUUAAACCCAUGGCGUACGGGUGAGUAAUACACAAGAAUUUGCUUUAAAAAAAAGAAAAAAGCGUAUCUUAUUUUUAACAUAAAAAAAAUAAGAGAAUGCUUCCGAGCAGCGCUAAUACUAUUAAGAAUAAUUUCGUUUUAAAAUAAGCUUGUGCAGGAUUAGGUAGUUGGUGAGGUAAUUGCUUACAAAGCCUACGAUCCUUAGUUGAUUUGAGAGAAUGGUCAGCCACACUGAGACUGAGAUAAGGCUCAGGCUUUUAGCCAGCAGUGAGGAAUUUUGGACAAUGGGCGAAAGCCUGAUCUGGUAAUACUGCGUGAAUGAUGAAGGUAUAAAAGGCUUAUAAUUUUUUUUAAAAUUGUAAGCCGGCCGUAAAGUUCGAGAUGUAAAAAAAAUUAUGAUUAAUUACAAAAAGUCCCGGCUAACUUCGUGCCAGCAGCCGCGGUAAUACGGAGGGGGCAAGCGUUAUCCGGAAUUAUUGGGCGUAAAGGGUUCGUAGAUGGUUAAAUGAUAUUUUUUGUUAAAUAUUGGAAGAAACUUCAAAAAUGCUUAAAAUAAAACUUUACACUUGAGUUUAAUAGAAGAUAACAGAACUUCAUACAUAGGAGUAAAAUCCAAUAAUUUAUGAAAGAAUGCCGAAGGCGAUAGCAGUUAUCUAUGUUAAUACUGACAUUGAGGAACGAAAGCAUAGGGAGCAAACAGGAUUAGAUACCCCAGUAGUCC
rnacentral:rRNA from 1 species